rnacentral:tRNA from 1 species
CGGGGCGUGGCUCAGUUUGGCUAGAGCACUUGAAUGGGGUUCAAGGGGUCGACGGUUCGAGUCCGUCCGCCCCGACCA